rnacentral:rRNA from 1 species
AUUUUGGGCAAUGGCCGAAAGGCUGACCCAGCGACGCCGCGUGUGGGAGGAAGCUCUUCGGGGUGUAAACCACUGUCAGAGGGGACGAAUGUCGGUGUGGGGAAUACGCAUGCCGGGUGACGGUACCCUCAAAGGAAGCACCGGCUAACUCUGUGCCAGCAGCCGCGGUAAUACAGAGGGUGCGAGCGUUGUUCGGAAUCACUGGGCGUAAAGCGCGCGCAGGCGGAUCUUGCAAGUCUGAAGUGAAAUCUCGUCGCUCAACGACGAGGCUGCUUUGGAAACUGCAGGUCUGGAGAUCGGUAGAGGCUGGUAGAAUUGCAGGUGUAGCGGUGGAAUGCGUAGAGAUCUGCAAGAAUACCCGUGGCGAAGGCGGCCAGCUGGGCCGAAUCUGACGCUGAGGCGCGAAAGCGUGGGGAGCAAACAGG